GGGGGUAUGGUGUAGGGGUAUCACAUUCGCUUUGCAUCAAUCCGCUUGCGAAAGGUCUAGGGUUCAAAUCCCUAUGCCUCCA
rnacentral:tRNA from 1 species